rnacentral:rRNA from 1 species
AGUUUGAUCCUGGCUCAUAAACGAACGCUGGCGGCGUGGCUAAGACAUGCAAGUCGAACGGGCCGGCGCUUAUUUGUUUACAAAUUAGUGCUGGUUAGUGGCGUAAGGGUUAGUAAUGGAUAGGUAACGUACCCUUUGCUUCGGGAUAGCGUCGUUCGCCUUCGGGCGAACUUCCGAAAGGGGCGGUAAUACCGGAUAAUAUCACUUGUCGAUGGGCAAAUGUUCAAAGAUUUAUCGGCAAAGGAGCGGCCUAUCUCUUAUCAGCUUGUUGGUGAGGUAAUGGCUCACCAAGGCUAUGACGGGUAGCGGGACUGAGAGGUUGGCCCGCAACAUCGGGACUGAGACACUGCCCGGACCUCCACGGAGGGCUGCAGUAACGAAUCUUGCGCAAUGGGCGAAAGCCUGACGCAGCGACGCCGCGUGCGGGAUGAAGUCCCUCGGGAUGUAAACCGCUGUCAGGGGGAAGAAAGUCCGCCUCGGCGGAUUGAUCUAACCCAGAGGAAGUCACGGCUAACUUCGUGCCAGCAGCCGCGGUAAGACGAAGGUGGCAAGCGUUGUUCGGUAUUACUGGGCUUAAAGAGUGUGUAGGCGGAGAGGUAAGCGUCCUGUGAAAGCCCCCGGCUCAACCGGGGAAUUGCGCGGCGAACUGCCUUUCUUGAGCCAAGUAGGGGUGCACGGAACUGUUGGUGGAGCGGUGGAUUGCGUAGAUAUCAACAGGAACGCCGGUGGAGAAAUCGGCUGCACUGGGCUUGUGCUGUCGCUGAGACACGAAAGCGUGGGGAGCGAACGGGCUUAGAUACCCCGGUAGUCCACGCCGUAAACGAUGUCUACUAGGUUGUGGCGGUUCUGACGCAAUCACGUCAGAAGCAAAAGUGCUAAGUAGACCGCCUCGGGAGUACGCCCGCAAGGCUAUUACUCAAAGGAAUUGACGGGGGUUCACACAAGCGGCGGAGCAUGUGGAUCAAUUCGAAGCAACGCGCAGAACCUUACCUGGGUUCGACAUGCUUGCAUGCU